rnacentral:rRNA from 1 species
CAGUCGCCGCGGUAAUACAGAGGGUGCGAGCGUUAAUCGGAUUUACUGGGCGUAAAGCGUGCGUAGGUGGUGGUUUAAGUCCGUUGUGAAAGCCCUGGGCUCAACCUGGGAAUUGCAGUGGAUACUGGGUCACUAGAGUGUGGUAGAGGAUAGUGGAAUUUCCGGUGUAGCAGUGAAAUGCGUAGAGAUCGGAAGGAACAUCUGUGGCGAAGGCGACUAUCUGGGCCAACACUGACACUGAGGCACGAAAGCGUGGGGAGCAAACAGGAUUAGAUACCCCUGUAGUCCCUGUCUCUUAUAC